rnacentral:rRNA from 1 species
UACGGGGGGAGCAAGCGUUGUUCGGAUUUACUGGGCGUAAAGGGCGCGUAGGCGGCCACCGCAAGUCGGUUGUGAAAUCUCUGGGCUUAACCCAGAAAGGUCAACCGAUACUGCGGGGCAGAGUGCAGAAGGGGCUACUGGAAUUCUCGGUGUAGCGGUGAAAUGCGUAGAUAUCGAGAGGAACACCUGCGGCGAAGGCGGGUUGCUGGGCUGACACUGACGCUGAAGCGCGAAAGCUAGGGGAGCGAACGGG